rnacentral:antisense_RNA from 1 species
CUUGGCAUCAGGCUUUUUCGCCAGAAUACCGUUUCCUACCGCAUGUAAUAAGUGGGUUUUACCCAGACCAGUACCGCCAUA